rnacentral:lncRNA from 1 species
CAGCCUUUGAGGAGAAAGUGUUGACCGCCCUUCAAGGUUUGAAAACCAUUACACAAUUGGUGCACUCUCAUAUGCAAUCUAUCGCCAAGCUAGAAUCCCUGGGGCAACUAGCUAAUGCAUCGAACAAACGAGAGGAAGGAAAGCUUCCAAGCCAACCAGUGAGUAAUCCUAGGGGACAAUACAUGGCUCAAGAAAAUCAACUAAAUACAAUUCAUCAUGAACAAGCUAAUGCUUUGACUACCCUAAGGAGUGGACGUGUAGUAGACAAUAAGAUUAGG